AACGCACCUUGCGCUCCUUGGUAUUCCGAGGAGCAUGCCUGUUUGAGUGUCAUUAAAUUCUCAACCUUAUUAGCUUUUGUUAAUAAUGGCUUGGAUGUGGGGGUUUAUUUGCUGGCUUCUUAAUGAGAUCAGCUCCCCUUAAAUGCAUUAGCUGGUUGCCUUGCGCAGACUUGUCUAUUGGUGUGAUAAUUAUCUACGCCGUGGACUUUCUGCCAGUAUUUAGCACCGCUUCUAACUGUCUGUUUAUUCGGACAAUAUAUGACAAUUUGACCUCAAAUCAGGUAGGACUACCCGCUGAACUUAA
rnacentral:misc_RNA from 1 species